rnacentral:lncRNA from 1 species
GUAGCUUACUUUGUGUAAAUAAUUAUUACAAGAUUCUUGUCGCCUUCAAAAAGUUUAUUAUUUCUAAUGUCCAUAUAGUAUAAUAGAUAGUUUGGGGUGUAGUCUAUAGUUUCUAUAGCUACAUUGAUUUCAUCAAAGAACACUAGACUCUCAACUAGUAGCUCCAUUACUUACAACUUUAAUUUCUUAUGAGGUGACGCAACGAGAC